rnacentral:rRNA from 1 species
AUUGAACGCUGGCGGCAUGCCUUACACAUGCAAGUCGAACGGUAGAGUAGCAAUACUUGAGAGUGGCGAACGGGUGAGUAAUAUAUCGGAACGUGCCCAGUCGUGGGGGGAUAACGUAGAGAAAUUUACGCUAAUACCGCAUACGAUCUAUGGAUGAAAGCGGGGGAUCGCAAGACCUCGCGCGAUUGGAGCGGCCGAUAUCAGAUUAGGUAGUUGGUGAGGUAAAGGCUCACCAAGCCGACGAUCUGUAGCUGGUCUGAGAGGACGACCAGCCAANACUGGGACUGAGACACGGCCCAGACUCUACGGGAGGCAGCAGUGGGGGAAUUUUUGGGAACAAAUGGGGCGCAAG